UACGUAGGGGGCAAGCGUUGUCCGGAAUCAUUGGGCGUAAAGAGCGUGUAGGCGGCCCGAUAAGUCUGCUGUGAAAGUCCAGGGCUCAACCCUGGAAGGCCGGUGGAAACUGUCGGGCUAGAGUCCGGAAGAGGCGAGUGGAAUUCCCGGUGUAGCGGUGAAAUGCGCAGAUAUCGGGAGGAACACCAAUGGCGAAGGCAGCUCGCUGGGACGGUACUGACGCUGAGACGCGAAAGCGUGGGGAGCGAACAGG
rnacentral:rRNA from 1 species